AACAUUUGUUAGGUCCACAUAUAUUUUGGAAACAAGAAAUACAAAUUAAAAAUGUCUAUUCGAAAUUCGUCGGUAAAUCUUAAUUCCAAAAAAUGGCUAAAACUCAAUACUUAAUACUACAAGUCAUGCUUUUGCUUGCACUCCUUGUAAAUAAUUUCGUACACAACUUUUUCUGUGUGUGCCACACAGUAUUAAUAAGUAAUACAUUUUUAGUUUUCGACAACGUCUCAAAUGUCGAUAAAUUGAUUUCGCUGUUAACUACUAUCGUUUUAUGGUGUUAGCCAUACGUUGGAAUUAGGAUAGGAUAGAGAUAGGAUACAGAGCACAAUGCACCCACAUUAGUGAUACUGGAAGUUAUCGCUGAUUUGCAUGGUUUUCAAUAAUUAAGUUGGCAUCAAGUUAUUUAAUGGUGAUGAUGGUAUGAUGGUGUUAAUUAAAUGGGAUUAUAAGAAAGAGUUAAUAAAUGUUAAAUACAAA